UACGUAGGGAGCAAGCGUUGUCCGGAAUCAUUGGGCGUAAAGCGCGCGUAGGUGGCCCUGUAAGUCCGUUGUGAAAGUCAAAGGCUCAACCUUUGAAAGCCGAUGGAUACUGCAGGACUAGAGUACGGAAGAGGCGAGUGGAAUUCCCGGUGUAGCGGUGAAAUGCGCAGAUAUCGGGAGGAACACCAAUGGCGAAGGCAGCUCGCUGGGACGUUACUGACGCUGAGGCGCGAAAGCGUGGGGAGCAAACAGG
rnacentral:rRNA from 1 species